CUACGGGUUGCAGCAGUGGGGAAUAUUGCACAAUGGGCGCAAGCCUGAUGCAGCCAUGCCGCGUGUAUGAAGAAGGCCUUCGGGUUGUAAAGUACUUUCAGCUGGGAGGAAGGGAGUAAAGUUAAUACCUUUGCUCAUUGACGUUACCCGCAGAAGAAGCACCGGCUAACUCCGUGCCAGCAGCCGCGGUAAUACGGAGGGUGCAAGCGUUAAUCGGAAUUACUGGGCGUAAAGCGCACGCAGGCGGUUUGUUAAGUCAGAUGUGAAAUCCCCGGGCUCAACCUGGGAACUGCAUCUGAUACGGGCAAGCUUGAGUCUCGUAGAGGGGGGUAGAAUUCCGGGUGUAGCGGUGAAAUGCGUAGAGAUCUGGAGGAAUACCGGUGGCGAAGGCGGCCCCCUGGACGAAGACUGACGCUCAGGUGCGAAAGCGUGGGGAGCAAACAGGAUUAGAUACCCGGGUAGUC
rnacentral:rRNA from 1 species